rnacentral:rRNA from 1 species
GCGAUCAUACCAGCACUAAUGCACCGGAUCCCAUCAGAACUCCGAAGUUAAGCGUGCUUGGGCGAAAGUAGUACUAGGAUGGGUGAACCCCUUGGAAGUCCUCGUAUUGCACCCC